CUUUCCCUUUCCCAACCCCGUUUUUAUUUUGUUAUCGGUCUAAACGGAGCCCCUAUCGAAAAACAAAGUAUCGACGAUAAUUCGAUCCACAUUGCCUACAAAUGUUGCCAUUGGCGAAGAUUCAACAGCGCAGAAUACGAGAUCUUGAUAUGCGGUAGAGAAUAUUUCGCCAUGUAAGAAAAAUCUCUUUGUUUGAUAAAAGCAACAGUGUUGAAUGUUAACGAAAGCUCUGAGUAGAUUGGAGCGUAAACCAGUAUGUGUUGAUGAUGAUGAUGAUGUUGAAUUAAAGAGGCUUUAAACUUUUCAGUUCAUUCGCCUCUAGAUGAAGUAUGUGUUCUCUAUAUCGUUGGUUUUAUACCAUUAUGUGUAGAGUGUUUAGUGUACUGAAUCGACAAGGUUGGGAAAAAGAAGAUCCAUUAUUGUGGGUGAAAUUUAAAAAAUGUUAACAUUCGGAUUGUCGGAUUUGGGUCAAAUAUGCACCAUUUUGCUGGAAAACUUGUUACCAUUCUGAAGUUUUAUUUUAGUGCAACAUAAUAAAUUGAAAACUCUACUGUCAACAAAUGGACCGUUUGAAGCUAGCGAUUAACCAAAAACGUUCAAAACUGGCUGACAGAAGUUUUGUGUUCCCUCAGGACAACGUAAGGUCACACAUCUCCGAGAGCUUGAUUGGGAUAUUUUAAUGCAUCCACCAUAUAGUCCGGACCGGCACCAAGCGAUUAUCACCUUUUCGUCGCAUUGCAAAAUUUCCAGAGUUGCAAAAAAUUGGGAUAAAGAGAAUAUUGUAAAAAUCUAUUGCUACCGCCAAUAAGGACCAAGUUCUCGAUGAAAAUACAUAAUGAAGCUACCUUUAGAUUGA